UGAGGAAUAUUGGUCAAUGGGCGAGAGCCUGAACCAGCCAAGUAGCGUGCAGGAUGACGGCCCUAUGGGUUGUAAACUGCUUUUAUGUGGGGAUAAAGUGCGUGACGUGUCAUGCAUUGCAGGUACCACAUGAAUAAGGACCGGCUAAUUCCGUGCCAGCAGCCGCGGUAAUACGGAAGGUCCGGGCGUUAUCCGGAUUUAUUGGGUUUAAAGGGAGCGUAGGCUGUCUAUUAAGCGUGUUGUGAAAUUUACCGGCUCAACCGGUGGCUUGGAGGGCGAACUGGUCGACUUAAGUAUGCAGGAAGUAGGCGGAAUUCAUGGUGUAGCGGUGAAAUGCUUAGAUAUCAUGACGAACUCCGAUUGCGCAGGCAGCUUACUGUAGCAUAACUGACGCUGAUGCUCGAAAGGGCGGGUAUCAAACAGG
rnacentral:rRNA from 1 species